AGGUGCGAUCAUACCAGCACUAAUGCACUGGAUUCCAUCAGAACUCCGCAGUGAAACGUGCUUGGGCGAGAGUAAUACUAGGAUGGGUGAACCUCCUGGGAAGUCCUCGGGUUGCACUUC
rnacentral:rRNA from 1 species